rnacentral:rRNA from 1 species
GACGAACGCUGGCGGCGUGCUUAACACAUGCAAGUCGAACGAUAAUGCCCAGCUUGCUGGGUGGAUUAGUGGCGAACGGGUGAGUAACACGUGAGUAACCUGCCCCUGACUCUGGGAUAAGCGUUGGAAACGACGUCUAAUACUGGAUAUGACUGCCGGCCGCAUGGUCUGGUGGUGGAAAGAUUUUUUGGUUGGGGAUGGACUCGCGGCCUAUCAGCUUGUUGGUGAGGUAAUGGCUCACCAAGGCGACGACGGGUAGCCGGCCUGAGAGGGUGACCGGCCACACUGGGACUGAGACACGGCCCAGACUCCUACGGGAGGCAGCAGUGGGAAAUAUUGCACAAUGGGCGAAAGCCUGAUGCAGCAACGCCGCGUGAGGGAUGACGGCCUUCGGGUUGUAAACCUCUUUUAGUAGGGAAGAAGCGAAAGUGACGGUACCUGCAGAAAAAGCACCGGCUAACUACGUGCCAGCAGCCGCCGUAA